UACCGUCUAAAAUAAACCUUUAGCUCGAUGAUCUGUUAGACUGUAAAACAUCUGUAUGUAUGUAGGACUGAAGCGCUAAGGAAGAACUGAGAGAAGAACAGUAGAACAAGAAUGAGAAAGAAGAGACGAUGAUUCUGCUGGAGCUCUCUGUCAUGGGAAAGGCGAAGGCCAAUGCUGGGCUCCUGGCCCGGAGGCCUGACAACUCGGCUUUCAAACAUCAGAGACUGCCUCUCUGGUCCCCAAUGCUCACUGCUCACACCGUCCUGCCUUCCUUUUAUUGUAUGGCCACUAUACGUGUGAAACUGGGAGUGUGCCUACUUGCCACCGUGCAGAAUACACAUGAACUGAAGCUGCGUAAUCAAUCCCUUCAAAUGAAUCAAAUCUUUUUGCCUUUUUUCUCUACUUCCACCGUUUACACAUAAUCACUUGAAAUGGAGCAGGAAACACCCUCCACAAUGCAUAUCUUAUCUAACCAUGAACACAGAGGUAGAAAUAGACAAUGAGAUGAGUUUAAAGGUAUUCUGAGAAUGAGUGUACAGUAUAACAGGAGGAGUGGCGGUGGAGAACGAACAUGUAUCUAAAGUUCCAAUGGGUUUUAAUGUUUGCUAUCUAUUUCUGUCACUCCCUCUCUCACCAUCUCUUCUCCUCUCUCUCCACAGGUGGACUACACACACACAGGGUCAUGUGAUAAGUGUUUUGAGACCACAAGCUGUUGAAACAAAUCCAAGUGCUUUGAGAAGCACAGCGAUUAUGUUUCCUAUUUCCUGUCCCUGAGAGAUGUGUUCUUCUACUUUGGGCUGAUCAACUUCCACCAGAACAUACAUGGACUCCAGGGAUGAUAGACAGAUGGUCAGGAGAAAAUAAAAACCUGAAGCGCCUACUGUGAGCCCUUCAUAAAGGAAAAUAAUGGACUCCAUAUCGCCCCCUGCUGGGCCAUGGCCAACAGCAUGUUCAACGACUCCUUCACUCUGACGUACUACUCAGGAGAGGGGGGUCCAGUGGUCCAUGUUCAUCUGUUCAGGAAGGGCAUCCCCUGGUACACCGACAAGAACGUCAAGUUCCGCAACCCACCGGAUGAGAACAAGACACGAACGUUAGCACGUGAUUGAAGGCACGGCCCGGCCUCUGUACUGGUAGAAGCCCGUGUUUGACCUGGACCCCUGGGACCACAACAACGGCUUCAUCAACGAGGACUUGAUAGUGUGGAUGAGGGAGGCUGCCUUCCCCAACUUCAAGGAUCUCUACGGGGUCCCGAGCUAGGGAACCCUUCACUGAAGGGCUGCCGACUGGGAACUACUGCAUCCAUUAUUAGCCAUUAUUAUUCAUCUGCUUAUUAAUGCUUUAUUCUACCAGAUUGAUCAUUUUGAGAUUUAAAUCAAUUUAAUUAAAACGAUUUCCAAUUGGCAGAUUACUAUUUCCGACCUUGAGGCAGAUUGGGGUUAGCUAGUUUCUCAUUGGGUGGAAGUGAAACAGUAGGUUGUGGCUUGAAAUGUUGGAUUUGUUUAUUUGGUCAGUUAUAAAAACAAUGUGGGUCACAGCACACGAAGCCCCCCGUUAGACAGCAGUGGACUCCUUCUAGGGCAGAAAGGAAGUGGUACUGUCCACAGUCAGCUGGUUCGGGAGUCAGAACAACUGCCUGCCCGUAGCCUACCUGAUCACUGGCUGUCUCAUCCUGCUCCUCGCUGUUAUCCUCACCGCCAUUUGGUGGAAGUUUGGUAAGAACAGACGGAAUAUGGAGGAGUGAUGUAAAAGGACCAAUGUGAAAAGGGUUGAGGAAGAAAAUAAAUAUUGAGUGAAUCAUGAGAAAGAGAAGUCUGAUAUUUCAUUCUAAAUACGGUGAAUGUGACCAAUUGAAAUGUAUUAAAUAAAAAACCAUACCUUAUUUA